GACGUAGGGGGCCAGCGUUGUUCGGAAUUACUGGGUGUAAAGGGUUCGUAGGCGGUGCGGCAAGUCGGGAGUGAAAUCUCUGGGCUUAACCCAGAGGCUGCUUCCGAAACUGCUGUGCUUGAGUGUGGGAGAGGAGAGUGGAAUUCCUGGUGUAGCGGUGAAAUGCGCAGAUAUCAGGAGGAACACCCGUGGCGAAAGCGGCUCUCUGGGACGGUACUGACGCUGAGACGCGAAAGCGUGGGGAGCAAACAGG
rnacentral:rRNA from 1 species